CGGCGUCGGUGGCCAAUCGGAGUUUGCGUCCUUCGUUUAUGGCGCUUACCUGGGAGAAGUGGAGGGACAGGGCGUGUUUAUCUGCGCUGGCUGAGUUGUCCCGGCGAAGUUCGAAGUUCGACCUUGGCACGCUGGGAGUGGUCAGGCCACACUUAAAAAGGAUCAAGCUAAAGAGCCAAGGAACAGCUGACCUGACCUUGGGAAGAUACUGCAUUAGCAACAAUAAAAAGUUGUGUCGAAGUAAAUAAGUACCUUCAAGUAAAGACUUCAAAAUUUAUGGCCUUGCUGAAACUCUCAGUUUCCAGACUAUAAGGCUCUGAAGGAAUAAAGGUGUAGUCCCCAUAGAAUUUCCACUGCCAAUUCACCAGUGCAAGGGAUAAGAUUAAAAUUGAGUUAAUCAUGGGAAAAUAUUUAGACUGUGUUCAGGAUGUGCUGUGUUCUUACUAGUAAGUUUUUCUAUAUUUUUAACUUAACUGUCCCUAAAUAUUUUUCAUCUGGUCACAUAGAUGUCUUUAAGAGUACUUUUCAAAUCUAUCCCAAUAAUGGUUUUACCACACUAUUUGAAAAUGUCACUGGGAAAUGAUCAAAUAGGUCAUAAAACUGAGAGGUUGAAAAAUGUUAGUUUGUGCAAUCACUGAAACGACUGUAGUUACUUUGUAAUUGUUAGAAAUCAAUACAUAUGAAUAGAAAAUAUUAGGGUGUCUGGCCUUCAUCAUUCUAACUCUUAUGCUACUCAUGGUCUUAUUAAUUGAUACAAAUUUUUAAAAUUAGAAUUUCCAGACUUUGAAUGACAACAGAUUGUCAUCAUUCACUUACACAGCCUUUUCCCAAUAAUCCAGAAACUGGAGAGCAGUUAAACAGUAACUUCUGUAACAGUGACAUAAUUUCCUGCAAAACUGUUAUUUUUGUAAUGGUUAACUUCUCUCAUUUGUUCACAGCAGGGGGUCAGUUUCUUUCAUCAGUGUCUUCUAUUUAUUAUAAAUCACAGUGGCUAAGGUAUUUUACCCUUGAUCUUGCCUGUUUCUUCCAGACUUGCCUGGCCCCUUCUGCCCUUUUCUUAUGGUUCCCACCAGAAGCUGCCUUAGACUUGUGGCAGGCUUUUGGGCCAACCCUGUAACUGGACACUUACCCACAAGGGGAUGGGUAGCAGGUGUUUCAUUGGAAACUGUUAUCUUCUCUUCUUUCUAUUGCACACAAAUUCUAUUAAAGUUCUUUCCUAUGGAUGAUCUUAUGCACUAAGAAUAAGUUUGUCUUUAUGCACUGGAUGGCAGAACCCAUAGAGAGUGUGCAGGUUUGGGAGUCCUGGGGUACCCCUCUGUCUGGCUGCUAAUAUAACCAGGCUCAUAGGAAUCCCAGAGGAUCUGGGCUGACCACCAACAGUCAUGUUUCACACUCAUCUGCACAGGAGAAGAAAGACCUUAAAAAAAAGAGAGAAUAGUUAAUUUGGCAUCUACUAUAUAGGGCACUUCUUUAAUCACUAUGCGGUCAUUAUCUUUAUUAAAAAAUUUUUCUCCAUCAUCUUUUUAUUCAGUUUUCACAGGAAUUUUGUUUUGCCCAUAAUUAUCACUUGAACUAAGUUAGACUGAUGUUUGUCUUAAUGGAGCCAUAGGAAACUCUGAACAUUAUGAAAGGGACAUGCUAAAUCCUGUGCCUUUUCAAUUCUUUUCCCAUUCUUUUUUUUUAUUAAUUAAUUAAUAGGGGUAAAGGUGUUGCAGUCAUUAUCUUUUUAAAUCUUGCGUGGGUAGUGUUUUGUUCUUCAUUUUACAGAAGAGGAAACUAAGACUUAUUAAGUAUCAGACCUGUGGUGACACAGCUGUUAAGUGGCAGGAUCAAGAUUCAAAACCAGAAUACAAAUAAAUAAAAACAACACAGGGUCUCCCUAGUGACACAAGGGGUUAAGCACAGCACUAUGAAGCUAUACUCAGCCUCUGCAGCACGAGUUCGAGUUUGAUCCCUGGCCGGCCAGGGAGCAACCUACAUGGCGCAGCAGACCUCUCCUGCCUCACCUGUUGCUCCCCUCAGCAGUGUAUUUCGGUGAAUCUGCCUGUUCUGCUCCCCACUCUGUCUCUGGUAAAUCCUCUCACCCCCCACACCUCUGGCCUGGACCCCAGUUCUUGUAUGCAUAA